rnacentral:lncRNA from 1 species
AACCCAUGGGACAUCGACAGGGGCGAUGUUUUUCCGCACGGGCAGGUGGUGCAUGUAGUCAUCGGGAUUUAUCAUUCCCGCAGCCCUCAACGCCCACGUUGGAGGCACCUUCUCCUCGAACCUCCGGCGCGCCCUUCAACGGAGCCCGACUCGUACAUCCACUACGCCUCUGUCGUCGCCCGCUUCCUCCCCGACCUGCUGCUGCGAGCCUCUCAGGUGCAUGUGUGGUGUUCGUCUCAAUUCUUCGGCGUGGGGGAGGUGUUGCGGUGAAGCACGAGUAUCAACAGGGAGCAGUGUGUGCGUGUGCGGCUCUCCAUUGUCAGGCGCGGGGAUGAUGGGCAGAAAUUACAUUGAAUAGAUGCUCUCUAUGACCCCUUCCUCGACCUCUCACUGAUGUUGGUCACUAGUGAGUCUCAAUCGAUUUUUUUUUGCAAGAACAUAUGUGCACUGAACAUGCUUGUUGAAAUGACCAGUGUUCAUAACUACCCAAUUAUCACUUUCUUUGUUGCUUCAUGUUGUGUGGUUGUGACUGUUGAAGCCUUAGUCUGUUACAUCAGAAAACAGAGGAUGUUUCAUACAUGCCUUUGAGCUAAUCAGUGACAUACACAAAGAAAAAAAAAUUAAUCAGUUAUAGUGAUGUCCACCAUAUGUAGCAACAGCUUGCUUGUCAUCCACUGUGUCUUCCUAUUUUUCUUAGUUUGUUGAGGAAGAAGAGAAACCCGGUCCUUUGAAGAAAGUGCUUUUUUUGUGUGGGAUUAGUGUGUAUGAUGUAUCCAGUGCUUGGUAUUUGGUAGUGUAGCGACACACAAAAAUAGUUACCAUCUUGUUUUAGGUUCAUAGAUUCCACCAUGGCACCGGUGUGUUUAUCAACAUGGUUUAGCAGUGACCACGGUCAACGGGGCAUCUUGUGUGCUAUGAGAUAUUUUUUAGCAGUGUUGAAGAUCAUGUGUGUUUGCGAAAAUAAUGUUUCUUAGGUGUAGAUUUUUUUGUGUGGCUCAGUGCAUGCCCAAUGCACUAGGUUCUGAAAGACAUGAAGAUGAAGCAAGCUUGCUUCACAAUCUGAUUUGUUUAACUAUUUCUUUGUAGUUGUACAAACAUCUUUUGGUAACUCUCAUAUAAUAUGAUGAGUCACUCUAUUUCUCUUUCAUUGGCACGUACAUCAAUUUCGACUAGAUCACAAUCAUGUGCCAUGCAUUUUCCAGAUCCCAAUGGCCAAACAAAGGAAAUUGAUGGCUGUUGCAAACAUGGAUGAAUCACAAAAGAAGCGCAAGGCACCAGCGGUAUGUUAUGUUAGCCUGUUUAACUCAUUAUUUACGACAUGGUAGCUCAAACUGUUUUUCUUGAUAAGUUAUAGUUGCUUCGGCCUGAUAACUUAUGGUGUGUCAGCAUGUUUAACUCGACUGCUUCAACACUCAUAUUUUACUUCAACUUGAUAGCUUAUACAACUUGAGUCAGAUAACCUAUGCUAUGUCAGCCUGAUAACUUUUAGUGUGUCAGUAUGAGAAUAUUGGCUUUGUUAACCUGUUUAACUCAUUCUGUGUUUAAUAUGGUGACUUAAACGUUGUUUCUACCUCAUAAUCCAUACUAAUUUAGCCUGAUAAGUUAUAACAUGUCAGCAUGUUUGAUUCGAACCACUUUCAACCUGAUAACUUAUGCAACUUGAUCCUGAUAAUAUUUUUAGCGUGUCAGCAUGAUAACAUUCACUUUCUUAGCAUGUUUAACUCAUUCUAUUUUUAGUAUGGUAACUUAAAUUGCUUCUACUUGAUAAUCCAUACAACCUGGUAAAUUAUACCGUUUCAGCAGGUUCAACUUGAACCGCUUUCAAAACUUUUAUUUUAGUUCAACCCGAUAACUUAUGUUACUUGGGCCUAAUAACUUAUAGUAUGUUAGUGAUACUUAUAGUGUGUCUGCACGAUAACUCACAUUCUGUUAGCCUUUUCUUUCAACAUGGUAAUUUAAUUGUUUCUACCUGAUAAUUCAUGCUACAAUUGCGUGUGUGGGUGGUGCUCCAUUUCCAGGCGUAGUGGUGGUGGGCGGAGGAGAAGCUGUUCUCUGAAGGAGGGCAUCAGCAGCAUGCUCAACACCCACGUCUCCAUCCUCGACCUCUCUCUCAGGUUUUUGUCACCAGUGAGACUUG